GCCAGCGUAGCUCAGGGGUAGAGCAACUGAUUCGUAAUCAGUAGGCCGGAGGUUCAAAUCCUCUCGCUGGCU
rnacentral:tRNA from 1 species